rnacentral:miRNA from 1 species
UGUCAUGGAAUUGUUGUCUUG